GACGAACGCUGGCGGCGUGCCUAACACAUGCAAGUCGAGCGAACAGACCAGGAGCUUGUUCCUCGGUCGUUAGCGGCGGACGUGUGAGUAACACGUGUAUAAUCUACCUAUCAGACUGGGAUAUUCUCGGGAAACGGGAGCUAAUACCGGAGAAUAUCUUGAACCGUAGGGGUCAAUAGUGAAAGACGGUUUUGCUGUAUCUUAUAGCUGCUUCCGCGCCGCAUGAGCUGGUUGGUGGGGUAAAGGCCUAUCAAGGCGACGAUGCGUAACCGACGUGAGGGGGUGGUCGGCCACAUGGGAGCUGAGCCACGCUCCAGACGCCUACGGGACGCAGCAGUAGGCAAUCUGACGCAAUGGGCGAAAGCUUUACAGAGCAAGGGCGCGUGAGUGAUGAAAAUCUUCGGAUCGUGAAGCUCGGUUAUUAGGGAAGAACAAAUGUGGAAGGAACUAUGCACGUAGUGACGGUACCUGAUCAGAAAGCCACGGCUAACUACGUG
rnacentral:rRNA from 1 species